AUCCUUUGUGGGUUCUCUGAUGGUUGGGUGUCCACGCAAUUGUGUGAUGUAUGCCUCCCUUAAACCUUGUUACAAUAUUGACACAUUAUCCAUCUAAUG